rnacentral:lncRNA from 1 species
CAGAGCAUAGAGAGUUGAACAGUGACCUCUCUCUCUCUCUCUGACAUGGCUAACUGUUUAGUUCUCUGCAAAGUUGUGGCAGAACCACCCUAAUUAUAUGGCCCACAUGCACUUGACAUUGUCCUUAAGACCUCUGACUACUGCACAUGAGAGUCAUAUAACUUGGAUAGUCUGUCGGGUGCCCUCGGAGGACCCCGAAUCAUCCACAUUUUAACUCGUACAGGAUCAACAUGGAGUUACCACAACAUUACAACAUUUGUUACAAAAAUAACUUACAUCAGAGUGCGGAAGAUUUAUAACUUAAUUUACAACAUAUGAUGAAGUAUAAACUUAACUAAAUUUCCAAAAGGUGUAUAGAGUAGCGGAAGCAUCUUAGGUGAAGCUUCUAAGGUAGAAGAGGUGGAUAAAUCAUGUCGCGCCCACCGACAUGACCUCCAUUAGCAGUCUAAGUCAGCACCUGCAACAGGGGUUAUAAAACCCUGAGUACAAAAGUACUCAACAAGACUUAACCGACUAGAAAAGAGGUGAAGACUCAGGUAUGCAGGCUAUAGGGAUUUAAGGUAAGGCUUUAGCAAGAUCAAAGCAUUUCUUUUGCAUAAAAGCUUACUAAGAGUAAAACCUACUUUCAAGUUUUAACUCAAGAUCAUCAUUUAUGACUAACCAAAAUUAUUAUCAAACUUUCAUAAGCAAACCACCUCUUUCUUAUACCAAAGUUCAUUUAUUACUACGAUGAUGGUGUGAGGAUUGAGGCUCCAUAUCCGAGGAAACACGGCGAUUCGAAUCGAUUAAACCCAGCUGGGGAUUCAGUACCACACGACAUAUGUAGAACUUAAUCUUGCAUAUGUCAACCUUUUCUAUAGAUCCUCCCAUACAAGAACGGGUCCAGCGUCACCCGAGAGUACAGUACACCACCAUCCUACAGCCAAUCUAGAUGUUUCCCGGUCAUCUCAGAUCCGUAAGGUGGGUACACGCUACUCUCGCCAUCUCUCCACUCCCAGUACGCGGUUAGCCGUUCUCAAGUAUCGGAAUAGCUAUAGGUAAGGCUUACCAGCGCAUGUGGGCUGUACUCAAAGGUCUCAAUCACAACAGGCCAACAACGGUACGGUCCUUAAUCGACACAGUUGGAGACACUACUUUAAGACUCCAUUCUUAAAGCAAGUCCACCGACCGGUCUCAAGUUGAACAGUAUUGACCUUAAAAGUAUUCCACAACAACCCUUCAAACUUUCUCAUUCGAAAACCUUUCUAAUAAGCAGGGCUAAGCAUACUAAGCAUUUUCAUAAAACAAGUAUCAAGGUUAAUAUUGAAAUCAUCAAGGUAGAUAAUGCAGCAAAUAGGAUUCACUCAACUCCUAUUCACCUAAUGCAUCAUAUUAACUCAAGUGAUAUAAAUAACUUUAUGAAAAUACAAGGAUAGGGUUUCAUGUCCGGGGCUUGCCUUGACCGGAAGGGAAGUUCGGCAACUCAGCAAAACCAGAUGGUUCUAUAAACUCGGAAGCAACCCACUGAGGAUCAGAUUCCUCCGGAGCGUAGUCUACACGUAGAAGUGCAUAUGCAUGAUCAAUGAGAUGCUCAUGACAUGAUAAAGACAGGUCACAUGUUCUUGGAUGAUGACAACAAACAAAACUACCUCGAGUACAACUCACCUUCACGGUAUAGAAACAAACUAACUUAGUUAUCAAAGCAUAGAUUACUACUAAGCAAAUUUUAUCAUCUUCAUUAAGCAAUGUUGUGUAGUUAUUAAGCAACAAAGAUCAUUUACAUGAAAGAAUCCUUAACCAGGGAGCAUAUCAUGCCAAGUAACCACUGGUUGUCAAUCAAUCCCAAAGAUCAAUCAAAACCUAAAAUGAUUAGGUUUUCUAUUUAUCUUAAUCAAUUCUUAAUUAAAUAUUAAUGGCAGUAAUUAAGUAUUAACAUCAAACAAUAAUUAAGUGCCAAAGGUCAUAAAAGAUAAUGACCUCAGGUCAUCACACAAUCCCAAAAGCACUCAAAUUCUAAUUUGGAAAUUAAGUUACUCAUUAUUUAAGUAAAGGCUAGCUAAAAGCAAACAAUUCUAUUUGCACACAAAACCAGGACAGCAGCAUAUACACAACUUCAUUCAACCAUAAUUAGGGAUCCAAACAUCCAACAAAGGUGAUAUUAGACUUUCUGGAAAGCUUAGAUAAUUUUCUACAACUUUGUUAUUAUCUUCGAGAACUGAUUUAAUAGAUAACAUGGCCAAACAGUAUGAAUAAACAAUUUUGUCCAGACCUUGGACAGAAUCAGACAUUAAGCUUCAUACAUCUAUAACCAGAGUUCUAGAUCACCAAAAGUCAUGAUCCAUAACAUUUUGGAAAGCUUAUGAAAAUUACUACAAUUCAUGAUUCAUAAGUUUAGUAGGUUGAAAUUGCACAACUACAGAAAACUGAUCCAGAAUUUGACAGAGAGGAACCAUUUCUGAAACUUAAAUUUAAACAGGCAUAACUCAGAAACUAUAGGGCCAAAUGCCACCAAAAUUUAACACCAGCUAGAUACAUGAAUUCUAUACAACUUUGUUAUAGACAAGUUUCAUAUCCAACAUUAUUUACCUAGAGCAAUUCAUAAGGUUCCAGAAACUGUCCAGAAAUCACUAAUAAUUUAAUUAUAGACAAAUAACAUUUCAUUAAUGUUUCAAACUUGGACCUGGGCAAAACCCAGCUCACAAAUAGUUGAAAUACAUUAAAGAGAUACUAGAAAACAUCAUGGUCAUCCCUAAAUAAAUUCCUUUCAUGUUUUUAUUAAUUUAUUUAGGUAAAUAGACAAAGCAAUAACCAUAUAUCAAAAGUACACAGUAAAUUCUGAGAAAACUACAGCAGCUCAUAUAUGCUCUCCAAAAUCUACUGUAUAAGUUUCAUGCCAUUUGGAUAAGUAUAGCAAUUUCCAUGAAAAAGAUAAAUUUCCAUCACAAGAAAGCAUGUAGCAACAAGAUAAAUAAGAAACUUGACAUUUUCUACAAACACAUAGCUAAAUUAUGUAUCUAUAUAAUAUAACAACCUCAUACAAAGGCAGAGGAACCAUAUUUCACAUUUAUUUAUUUUUAGUUUAAUUGUAAACUAUUUAAUAAGCACUAAACAAGACAAAUUAAUAACUUAACCAUAUAUCAUACACUGAACAUGAAAUCUUUACUGUAACACUCACAUAGCAUCAUAAGAACACCAUAAAAAUUUCAGGCCCAUAGGAGCUACACAGAAUUAGAUAUGAAUUUCUCCUUUUUAAACAUAAUUAAAAGGCAUAAAUCAUAACUAAUUAUUUUACUACAAAACAUGGUCAGUUUCAUAUUUUUAAUAAACACUAGACAUCUCAAGGAGCACAACAAAAUUUGGUUCACCAAAAUUGGAGCUACCAAACUCUAGAUAUGAAUUUUCAAACAUUCAACAAAACAUCUACAAACAAGUCCUUAUAGCACUAUUCACCUGAGUCACAGUCUCUGCAAUUAGACCCCUGGAGAACAUCAAAUUGUCGCGCGAAGUCCCUGGCCGCGAACUGAAAACAGAGGAGCUCGCCGGAGAUCGCAGUUUCGACGUUGGGGUGCUCUUCGGCGGCAGUGGAGCAGCGGGGGAGUUCACUUGGACUCACGCACACCCUAUGGUUCCCUCUACUUGGCCAGAGGUGGUCUGUGGAGGCAUGGCCACGUGAACAGCGGCACUGGCGGAGUUCUGGACGGGGCUAGGGGAAAACUUGGCGCUCCGGCCGCCGGGAAGGCGAGGGGACGAGUUGGGGAGCAUCAGGGGCUCAUCACGACUUCGUCAAGCUGCUCAGAACUGGUGGAGAAGCACGGAGGAGGGCUGGCCACGUGAAGCGCCCACGGCGGCGCUCGGUCGGAUUUGGAGAAGGAAAAGAAACUCCGGCGCUUGAGUGGGUUAUGCAGCGAGCUUGGGAGUGCGCUGGGUUCGCAGAGGGAUGGCGAACAUCGUGGACAGCUCAAUUUGGUGAGAGAGGUGUUGAGCACGACGAAUUUGAAGGGGAAGGGCGUCGGGUUUCUUUCGGUUAUGGACAGCAAACAGACGACGUCGUCCACGUCGGUGCUCAGAAAGGAGAAAGGAGCGAGGCUAUGACGUCCACGUCGC